rnacentral:misc_RNA from 1 species
UCCGGUUUGUCACCGGCAGUCCCAUUAGAGUGCCCAACUGAAUGUGGCAACUAAUGGCAAGGGUUGCGCUCGUUGCGGGACUUAACCCAACAUCUCACGACACGAGCUGACGACAGCCAUGCAGCACCUGUGUCCAGGUUCCCUUUCGGGCACCCCUCCAUCUCUGGAGGGUUCCUGGCAUGUCAAGGGUAGGUAAGGUGGGGAUGACGUCGACGUCAUAACC